UACGUAGGGUGCAAGCGUUGUCCGGAAUUACUGGGCGUAAAGCGUGCGCAGACGGUUGCGUAAGUCAGAUGUGAAAGCCCCGGGCUCAACCUGGGAAUUGCAUUUGAGACUGCGUAGCCUAGGGUGCGGAAGAGGGAAGCGGAAUUUCCGGUGUAGCGGUGAAAUGCGUAGAUAUCGGAAGGAACACCAAUAGCGAAGGCAGCUCGCUGGGACGUGACUGACACUAAGGCGCGAAAAGCGUGGGGGAGCGAACAGG
rnacentral:rRNA from 1 species